GCGACGUUAGCUCAGAGGCAAGAGCGGCGGAUAUUCCGCAGGUCGCCGGUUCGAGUCCGGCACGUUGAU
rnacentral:tRNA from 1 species